rnacentral:lncRNA from 1 species
CAUCUGGGCUCAUAGACUAGCUGGCCCCUCACCUGGCAUGUCCUUGGUGUCCGCUAAAGACUUGUUGAAGAAAGGACAGGUCAGCCUUGGUGUUUCCAUCUGUGAAAUGGAAUAACUGUAGUACUUAAUUCAGUUCCGCUGUGUGUAUUAAGAAAAAUCAGCAAAACAGCUGGGAAGAUGGAAAAUGUCCAGUGGGGACACCGAGCUAAUGAGCCCAAGAGCACGUGCUGCUGCUGGAAGGGGCCGGCACAGAGCGGUUCAGGCUGCUGGCUCCCCCCGCCCUGCCCUGCAGUUCCGGGGGUCUCGUUGUAGUUUGAGCCUCCGCCCGUCCUCCAGGCUGUCAGCGAAGACUGCAGGUGGCCUCCCUGGAGACCCCUCCCCGUUCGCUGCUGCUAACAGCUUAGCAAGCAGAGGACCGGCACUGCCAGUCUGAGUGCAGAGGAAGAGCCAGCGGGCGCUCCGGGAGGCCUCAGAGGCUUUUUGGACAAUAAAGGGUAUGGCAACUGGGUAUCCACUUGGUGGCC